UCCGUAGGUGAACCUGCGGAAGGAUCAUUAACACGUUAUUCCAUUCCUCUCUUUAUUGUGUUUAUACACCUCUCAUGGUGCGUAAUGCAAAAAAGGGAGUGAAACCUUUAGUGAAUUCAUUGGAAGUCUAUAUACUUUCGCACCACUUUCUUAGUGACGAAAACUAAAAUGAACCCUUAUAAAUUAUCUUUUAUCAUGCAUGCAUGCAUGUAUGUAUGCAUGAUGAUUGAUGACGAAAAAAAAGGUUCCUACUUUUUUUUACUUUUUCUAUUGCAACUCUACUGCAAUUGUAAAAAAAAAACAACUUUUAACGAUGGAUACCUUGGCUUGCUGUUCGAGGAAGAACGCGGUGAAAAGCGAUAUUCCAGGUGAAUUGCGGCUUGCGUGAAUCUUCGGAACUUUGAACGCAAAUUGUGCCCUGCUUCAACGUAGGGCGUGUUUGUUUGAGCGUCGAAUACAAAUAAGUUUCUCUUCUAACCUCUCUAACGAGAGAGAGAGAAAGAGAAAAUGUUGGGUUUUGCUACUGCUGCUGUGUAAUAAUAACAACGAUAGCUUUACCUUAAAUACAUCGCAUUUUAGCGGAGGUCAUAUGUUGACAAUAUGCGACUAUCCGCCUUCAAGCGCUUAAUACCACUUGCACUUGUUGGUGUUGCAUUAUCUGUCUGAUAUAUUUGUACUUUCGUAAAAUUUUAAAUUCUCGGCCUCAAAUCAAGCACGAUUACCCGCUGAAUUUAAGCAUAUUAAUAAGCGGAGGAAAAGAAACCAACAGGGAUGUCCUUAGUAAUGGCGAAUGAAGAGGACAAAGCUCAAACUGAAUCGGGAAGUCCCUUUGGGGCUCUUGAAUUGUAGUGUUCGGAUUGUUCGUUGAUGGGCUCGUGUUGCGAUUAAGUGGUCUGGAAUGGCCUACCAUAGAGGGUGAUAGUCCCGUACUUGCAGCAUCCAGAGUAUUAAAGUCAUCGGGCUUUCCUUGAGUCGGGUUGUUUGAGAUUGCAGCCCUAAUACGGGUGGUUGAUCCCAUCCAAAGCUAAAUAUGACAGCAAGACCGAUAGCGAAAAAGUACUGUGAAGGAAAGGUGAAAAGAACCCUGAAAAGGGGGUCAAAAGCACUUGAAAUCGUUAAAAGGGAAACGCUUGAAGU
rnacentral:rRNA from 1 species